rnacentral:tRNA from 1 species
GCCAGCAUAGCUCAGUUGGUAGAGCACCGCUCUCGUAAAGCGGAGGCCAUCGGUUCAAACCCGAUUGCUGGCUCCA